CAGCCGCCGCGGUAAUACGUAGGUCCCGAGCGUUGUCCGGAUUUAUUGGGCGUAAAGGGAGCGCAGGCGGUUUAGUAAGUCUGAAGUUAAAGGCAUUGGCUCAACCAAUGUAUGCUUUGGAAACUGCUAGACUUGAGUGCAGAAGGGGAGAGUGGAAUUCCAUGUGUAGCGGUGAAAUGCGUAGAUAUAUGGAGGAACACCGGUGGCGAAAGCGGCUCUCUGGUCUGUCACUGACGCUGAGGCUCGAAAGCGUGGGUAGCGAACAGGAUUAGAUACCCCUGUAGUCCCUGUCUCUUAUACA
rnacentral:rRNA from 1 species